rnacentral:rRNA from 1 species
UAUCCUACGGGAGGCAGCAGUAGGGAAUCUUCCACAAUGGACGAAAGUCUGAUGGAGCAACGCCGCGUGAGUGAAGAAGGGUUUCGGCUCGUAAGAUCUUUUGGGAGUGAAGAAAGAUAGAGGUAGUAAAUGGCCUUUAUUUUACGGUAAUUACUUAGAAAGUCACGGCUAACUACGUGCCAGCCGCCGCGGUAAUACGUAGGUGGCAAGCGUUGUUCGGAUUUAUUGGGCGUAAAGCGAAUGCAGGCGGUUCACAUAGGCUG